rnacentral:rRNA from 1 species
UACGGAGGGGGGCUAGCGUUGUUCGGAAUUACUGGGCGUAAAGCGCACGUAGGCGGCUUUGCAAGUUAGAGGUGAAAGCCCGGGGCUCAACUCCGGAAUUGCCUUUAAAAACUGCAUCGCUAGAAUUGUGGAGAGGUAAGUGGAAUUCCGAGUGUAGAGGUGAAAUUCGUAGAUAUUCGGAAGAACACCAGUGGCGAAGGCGACUUACCGGACACACAUUUGACGCUGAGGUGCGAAAGCGUGGGGAGCAAACAGG